UCGUAAUAAAUGUGAGUUUCUGGUUGGCGUCGGGGUGGAUGGGGAGGAUAACACCGUGGGCUGUCGGCUCGGCAAGUACAAGGGCGGGACGUGUGCUGUGGCAGCCCCGUUUGACACCGUGCACAUCCCCGAAGCCACCAAGCAGGUGGUGAAGGCCUUCCAGGAGUUCAUCCGGUGAGGACCUGUGACGGGGCUCCCGGGAACUCCUAUGCGGUGUGGGAGCAGAGGGUGGUGAUCCUGCCCUGGGAAUUCUGGAGUGCCUGCCAUUUCAGCCAGAUGAAGGAAGGUGUGGCCAGAGGAGAGAGCAGGGGGACUGAGUGCCCAGUUGUGGGCACUCAGGCCAGCUUGUGAUUCCCACAGGUCCACUCCAUACUCGGCAUACGACCCAGAGACAUACACAGGCCACUGGAAGCAGCUGACUGUGCGCACCAGCCGCCGCCGCCAGGCCAUGGCCAUUGCCUACUUCCACCCCCAGAAGCUGAGCCCUGAGGAGCUGGCAGAGCUGAAGGCCUCCCUAGCGCAGCACUUCACAGCAGGGCCAGGCAGGGCCAGUGGAGUGACCUGCCUCUACUUCGUGGAGGAGGGACAGCGGUAAGGAGCCUGAGUGGGGCAGGGCAGGUCCCUGCAGGGACUGUGACACUGAAGGACCCACACCUCCACCCACAGAAAGACUCCUAGCCAGGAGGGCCUGCCCCUGGAGCAUGUGGCUGGGGACCGGUGCAUCCACGAGGACCUGCUAGGGCUGACCUUCCGGAUCUCUCCACACGCCUUCUUCCAGGUGAACACACCCGCAGCCGAGGUGCUCUACACAGUCAUCCAGGACUGGGCCCAGCUGGAUGCGGGGAGCACGGUGCUGGACGUGUGCUGUGGCACUGGCACCAUUGGCCUGGCCCUGGCCCGGAAGGUAAAGAGGGUCAUUGGGG
rnacentral:sRNA from 1 species